CUAGCCAGCAGUAAUUAGCAAACACCUGGUGGAACUGAACUCAUUAGAGCAGCUACUUCUCAGUGCAACUCUGGUAAAAACAUUGUCAAAGAAUUAAUAGAGGUGCGACAUUGUGACAACUUUUCACAUUUACAAAACAGCACCACAGACAAUAAUACACGAGUCAAGAGACUAAUAUUUUCAUUUCAGGUUGCAUAUAUUAAGAUGUUGUGUUAUUCUGCUCAAGCAAUACAGCAGAUAAGACACUGCAGACUGAAAUAAACAAGACUGGAUAAUGUCUUUGUAACAGGCUGCAAGUAAAAAGGGCCAACUUUUAAUCUUUUUUUUGCUGUCUGUGAAGACGUCUGCUCACCCUUGGUAUUAAGGAUUCACAGGUCAGAGAAAUAAAACCAAACACCUCUUCAAAUAUCUGGGUGAAAGAAAGAAAAGCACCAAGUUCCAAAGAAAAACUCCAGUAAGCUUAAAGAAACAAACCACAAUAUUUUCUGUUCCAUUGGGUUUCACAAAGUAUGCCUGUAUUCAAACUGUUGCUCAAUCCAGACUGUAUUUAAUACCCAGAAACACAAUGUACUUUUUUAUUAUUCAUUAGCAAAACAGAAGUCUGUUAUCUUUUCUCAAAGACCAUCCACAGAUAGAGUUUCAGCUUUUUUGUGGCGUGAAAAAAAAUUAUAAACCUAAAUAAUGAUAUAUAUAUAAAUCACAAGAACACAAAUCUAAUAUUCUAUAGUCUUAAUCAAAAUCUAAAAACCUGUAAAAAGGAUACAAUUAUUUACAUUUUACUUUGUUGAAUCAUAAACAAUUUAUAAACUGAGCUUCAAAAAGCAAUAGCGAAAGAAAACAAAAUAUCUUGUGUUAAUCAGCGGUUCAACAGUUUAAAUCCCCCAAAGCAGAUCUAAAGGUAUCCAAAGGCUCAAUGCAGAUCAACCUCACAGCGUUUUCUUUUGUUUUAGAUGUUUCCACUACAUCACUGCCAUACUUUCCAAAUACUAUAAAUCCCAGUGUUAAGUAGUGACAGUUUCAGUCCCCCUAAAUAUUUGUGAAUGUGAUUCUGCUCCACAAUCAAGCUUCCCUUCACUGCAAUAAUUUAUAUGCACAAGCUAUUUUAAGGAUGCUUGUAAUGAGAGCGUCAAUGGAAAAGCAAUCAAGAAACAGUGAACUGAUGGCACCAGCUUUGCAGAGGCUCUUUAUGGCCUCCCCUGCUGCUUUACAAGGCCAGACUGGUGGUCCAGUCUGCACAGACUGAAGACAGAGAUCUGAGGUUAUCGCAUCUUUUCCGCUCUCACACGGUCCAGCGAGGCUACAGCGCCACUUAAUUAAAGACUUUUAAUUAAACUAAAUGUAUUAAAUCACAAGAGAGAUUUGUCAGAGAACAUAAGUUAUUUUGUGUCUCGCUAGCAUCCAAGGGAUUUCUUCAUGUAGUUUCUGCUUUAGGCUCAAGGUGAAAGAAACGUAAGGUGUUUUAAAGUUAAAUUUGAGACUUUUAUCAGAGUGAAUGUUCUUCAUUUAAUGUAACUAAACCCCAAAUCAGUUUUAACUUUGUUUUUGCUGGUAUAUUGUCUAAAUUGGUCUCUAUGCUUCUGUGUGAAUUGUCAUUUUCAUGUAAAUUUGUUUCAUUUUGCACUAUUUUACCUAAAACUGCCUCAAUGCUGCCCUCUUUGGGUAGAAAGGCAGCAACUGCAGCCAAAUGUUCCUAUUGGUAACAGCAGCACGGCUUGGUUGGUGUCACAGAUACGCCCCCUGGUGGUGAAUCAGGAGUUGGACUUGUGAAUGUAGUGUCGCCAUAAAAGUCUCCAGUAACAGAAGAGUGUUUCUGAAAAAAUGCCACCAGAGGGAUCUGAAAGGUCACUGACAAUAGCAACAAAGUUAAAUUGGCAACAGUGCUUUUUCUUGUCCUGACCGCACCACAACUUAACUCCCUCUCCUCAUCACCAGCACAGGAAAUAUUUAAUUUAAUUGGACCUAUGAUGCAAAAUUUUAAUUUUGCACAUUUUCAUAUUUCUAUUUGGGUUUCUACUGCUUCUAAAAACAGAACAAGCGCUUAAAAAAAAUCACCCAACCACUUUUUUACAGUAGGUUAAUGGCUUUUGGUAUCUGGAAAAUGUGUUGUUUCAAAAACCUUUCAGAACAUAACAUCACAAAUCAGCAGGCACUGGCAGCUAUAGCAACCCAGCAAAGCCCAGCUUGUUACUUAGCAACCCAAACGGAGCUCCAGCACGUUUGGUCAGCUGGUUUUACCACUGAAUCCUCUGUACAAUGGCUGCUGGAAAAGACAAGUGUUUUGUUGUUGACUUAUCAUCCAGAAACCACAUGCUACAUCUUGUUGGUUGUGCGGGAAGCUCUGCUAAUGCUUUUCAAAGAUGUACAGUUGUGUUAUUGCACAUCACUUGGCAGCCAUUUUCACCUGUGAGUGUAAACGUUGAGUUGGGGGCGUGGCCAGCAGCAGCUUCUUUGGAUUGAAAGUGACAAGGCACCCUUAAACAGCUCAUUCUAAAAGGAGCUUAAAAUUAAAAUCUCAUUAUCUAAGAAUGAUUUUUGUCCAAAAAUGUAAUUAAAAUGUUUUGUGUAGCCCCUAGACCUAACUAAGCAUAACAGGCCACCUUUAAAGCGACACCUUUAUUGAGACUUUUAACAAUAUUAUAUGAAGUGCUGAUGUCCGUGUGUUUGCGAAACAAAUCCUCACUUGUUACUCAAACAGCAAAAUAUUUCUUCAAUCAACAUUUGGCAUCAGCUUUUAAAAUCAAGUGAAAUACCCUCUGUCUUUGGUUUUGGUUUCUAUUUCUCACACAGAAAAUUAACGCUUAUACUUGUAUGGAAAAAAAAAGUUGCAUAUACAAAACAAAUUUAAAAAAGAAAAACACUUCUGCACCCAAUGACCUCUGGCUUUUCUUUUUCCUUUAUGGAGGUUCUAGUUUAUGUCCUACAUCCAUUUCCGUUACACUAUGGUCAUUCCUCUCAACACUCACACAAUGUCCUACUGGGGGCUAUCGCUCUCCAUUAUAUAAACUAGGUCAGGGAAGGGUGUGUAAGCGGAGAGGGUCAGUAAUUAUUUUUAUCAUUAUUAAUUUCCACCUCAAGGUUACGCCAGGGCUUUUUGUCUGCGUCAAUCUUCAUUUUUGCCCCCUGCAAACAUGCGUGCACACACCACGGAUAUCACCACAGCUGGAAGGCCGGCACGCCAAACAAGUCAGAAGAGAAAAGGCCUGAAAGGGAUGGAGUAAGAAAUGGAGUAGGAGACAGUGGAAGAGUUGAAUGUGUCGCUUCAUCACUCACUGGGCCCUAAUUUACACCAACAGGUUGUUUACUUAACGUGGCAAAAGAUAAUAAAAGCAAGGCUACUGGAGGGGGAGAGAAGAGAAGGAUGCCCCGCGGGAGCACUUCAGCUGUGGUGGCUUGCACACUCCAAUUAACUCCAUGAAAAGCUUGUUCCCUUAAAGUAGUGAAGGAGGGAUAAGACAAAAACAGCACCUUUACCCUAAAUCUCUUCUAAUGGGCCAUCAGGAAAAUGCUUCUUGGUGUCCCAGCAGCAAUAAAAUAAAAUAACUUACACAAAUCAGAUCAAA